rnacentral:lncRNA from 1 species
CUGUCAUUCAACAGUAGUCAAUGUUGGUGAGAAGAGCUGUAGGUAAUACAGGUUAAAGUCAUGAACUGCCCAACCACGCUAGUUUUACUACUUCUUCAGCGUCUAAUUCCUUCCAGACGCCCCGGGUUUAUGCUUCCUGCACGUAGCUCCUUACAUUUCAAAAGACUCUUAACCAGGGAGAGUUUUUGGACUUGUUUUAAUAAGGGGGGAAGGUUUGGGGAUGAGGAGGAGCAACUUAUUGAGGAGAAGAGAGAGAAAAAAAGUUGAUGCCCACAAAGGACCUGAGCCCUAGGACCAUGCCUCAGGACUACCUGGUAUGAUGACUCCUUGCUGUCCCCAGUCCACCUGGCCGUGCUGCUGCUCCAGUUUCAACUGUUCUGCCUGCGGCUAUGGAACCCUGACCUGUUCACCGGACGUGCUUGUUGCACCCUCGACAACUACUAUGAUUAUUAUUAUUUGACCAUGCUGGUCAUUUAUGAACAUUUUAACAUUUUAACAUUUUGACCAUGUUCUGUUAUAAUAUCCACCCUGCACAGCCAGAAGAGGACUGGCCACCCCUCAUAGCCUGGUUCCUCUCUAGGUUUCUUCCUAGAAAGGCCAAAAACCUAGGAAG